rnacentral:rRNA from 1 species
AUUGAACGCUGGCGGCAGGCCUAACACAUGCAAGUCGAGCGAGCGGCGGACGGGUGAGUAAUGUGUGGGAAACUGCCAGAGGGAGGGGGAUAACUACGGGAAACGGUAACUAAUACCACAUAAAAUCAGAUGUGCCCAGAUGGGAUUAGCUAGUAGGUGGGGUAACGGCUCACCUAGGCGACGAUCCCUAGCUGGUCUGAGAGGAUGUCCAGCCACACGGGAACGGAGACACGGUCCAGACUCCUACGCGAGGCAGGCGUGGGGAAGAUUCCACAAUGGGCGAAAGCCUGAUGCAGCCACGCCGCGUGUAUGAAGAAGGCAUUCGGGUUGUAAAGUACUUUCAGCGGGGAGGCGUUACCCGCAGAAAAAGCACCGGCUAACUCCGUGCCAGCCGCCGCGGUAAUAC